UGGGCAACCAUGAGUACAGUGGCGUACGGGUGAGUAACACGUGGGUGAUCUACCUCUUAGUGGGGAAUAACCCUGGGAAACCGGGGCUAAUACCGCAUAAGCUCGAGAGAGGAAAGCAGCAAUGCGCUGAGAGAGGAGCCCGCGGCCGAUUAGCUAGUUGGUAGGGUAAGAGCCUACCAAGGCAGAGAUCGGUAGCCGGCCUGAGAGGGCACACGGCCACACUGGCACUGAAACACGGGCCAGACUCCUACGGGAGGCAGCAGUGGGGAAUCUUGCACAAUGGGGGCAACCCUGAUGCAGCGACGCCGCGUGAGCGAUGAAGCCCUUCGGGGUGUAAAGCUCUUUCGGCAGGGAAGAUGAUGACGGUACCUGCAGAAGCAGCUGCGGCUAACUACGUGCCAGCAGCCGCGGUAAUACGUAGGCAGCGAGCGUUGUUCGGAGUUACUGGGCGUAAAGGGUGUGUAGGCGGUCUUUCAAGUUUGGUGUGAAAUCUCCCGGCUCAACCGGGAGGGUGCGCCGAAUACUGAGAGACUUGGAGUGCGGGAGAGGAAAGUGGAAUUCCUGGUGUAGCGGUGAAAUGCGUAGAUAUCAGGAGGAACACCGGUGGUGUAGACGGCUUUCUGGACCGUAACUGACGCUGAGACACGAAAGCGUGGGUAGCAAACAGGAUUAGAUACCCUGGUAGUCCACGCCCUAAACGAUGCAUAUUUGGUGUGGGCAGUUCAUUCUGUCCGUGCCGGAGCUAACGCGUUAAAUAUGCCGCCUGGGGAGUACAGUCGCAAGGCUGAAACUCAAAGGAAUUGAC
rnacentral:rRNA from 1 species